GCAUCCUGGGAGCUGUUCUGAUUGGUUUGUUACCGGUGGUUGGCUCUCUGCUUUUGCAACAACUUCCACCUGGCAUUCCUCUUCAGUUUUGCGUCAAGGUUUUAUUUCCUUGAGCGCUCUUGGUUUACUGUGCUGCCUGCCAAUUUGACGGUAUCGUUUGAUUACAUCAAAGUUGUGAUUCAUCAUGUGUCAUUUGUAUGACGUAGGAUGAACCUUAAAGCAGCUUCUAUGAUCCACAUGCUUGAUGCACAUUCAUCGAUGUUGUGGCUCAUUAAGUUUUGCUUGGUCUUCUGGAUACAGAACAUGAUAUGGGUGUGGGUCUCUGCGAUCCUUGUCUUGCCCUAGUUGAACGUUGUUAUUUCUCUGAGAUGACUGCCUAGACCGAAUUGGCUCGUACCACCGGGGUAGGUAAUGUUGUUGAAGAGCAAUACCAGCGUUCUUGCUUCUCUAAAACAGACGGCCUCGCCUGGACUGGCUUGUUCCAGCGGGUGGGUUAUGUCGAAGAGGGAUGCUACCUGGUUGAUCCUGCCAGUAGUCAUAUGCUUGUCUCAA
rnacentral:misc_RNA from 1 species